UACGUAGGGUGCAAGCGUUGUCCGGAAUUAUUGGGCGUAAGAGCUCGUAGGCGGUUUGUCGCGUCGGGAGUGAAACUCAGGGCUCAACCCUGAGCGUGCUUCCGAUACGGGCGGACUAGAGGUAUGCAGGGGAGAACGGAAUUCCUGGUGUAGCGGUGGAAUGCGCAGAUAUCAGGAGGAACACCGGUGGCGAAGGCGGUUCUCUGGGCAUUACCUGACGCUGAGGAGCGAAAGCAUGGGGAGCGAACAGG
rnacentral:rRNA from 1 species